AUGUAGGGGCAUUGUAAAAAAUUACUGAGACACUAAGGGCACUGUGGGCCUAGAAAAUUGGGGGACCCCUACCCUACACAAUCAUCUGUCUGAUCUUAUCUCCUGAAACUGCCCCUCUGUUUGCUCCAUUCUCUGCCCCAGCCAACCCAGCCUCCCUGUGUUCCUCACCCCACCUGGUACACUACUGCCUCAGGCUCUUUGCAAUGACUGGUUCCUCUGUCUUAAAAUGUCCUUACCUCAGAUGCCCUUGGCUGCCUUCUACACUUUCUUUCAGAUGUGUUCAAACGUCACUUCCUCACGAGAUAUUCCAUCACUGCCUGUAUUAGUGUGGGCUGCCAUAACAAAACACCACAGAGUGGGUGGCUUAACAUCACACAUUUAUUUUCUCUGUUCUGGAGGCUGAAAGUCCAAGACUGAGGCUCCAGUCAAUUCCAUCUCUUGUGAGGGCUCUCUUCUCAGCUUGUGGACGGCAGCCUCCUUGCUGUGUCCUCACACAGACUUUCCUCAGUGCAUGCGUGUGGGAAGAAAGUGAGAGGGAGAACUCUGGUGUCUGUCCUCAUAAGAACACUAAUCCUGUUGAAUCAGUGCCCAUCCUCACGAACCCAUUUCAUCUUAGUUACUUCCUUAGAGGCCCCAUCUCCAAAUACAGCCACAUUAGAGUGAGGUCUUGAACAUACAAAUUUGGGGGAGACACCCACAUUCAGUUCAUAACACUACCAUUUCUGAAAUUGCAAUCCCAAUCUCCCCAACACUCCUUCACCCCCUUACCUUGCUCUCUUCCCCCCACAGUUCACCUUUCUCGUACUCUCCAAUGAAUUCAUAUUAUGAAUUCUAUUGUUUAUUAUCUGUCACCCUCUCCCCCAUCUAGAAUAAAACUCAAUGAUUAAGGGUAGGAGUCUUUGUCUACUUGUUCUUUAUGUGUCCCAGGCAUCUAGGUUAGUGCCUUGUACACAGUUGGUACUCAAGAUUAGCUGUUGAAUGAAUGAAGGAGAAAAAACAUCUCCUUCCUGGCCCCUUUUCCCUUUUCAUUCUCUUUGCACAUCACCAGGGAAGGAAAAGAAACACACCUCAAUAAUCAAUUAGUUUGAGGAGAGCUGGUAAUGUGCUCAGGGUGCUUUCAACAGCUAGACUUGUAUACUAGUUCCAGCUGCGCAGCUCUCUAGCUAGGUGACUUUGAACAAGCAGUCCAACCUUCUGAGCUCCCAUUUUCUUUCCUGUAAUAGUUGGAUAAAAUCACCUCGUAGUGGCAAGAAUCAAGAGACUUCUCAAAAGUUAAACAUAGAGGCCAGGCGCAGUGGCUCACAGCUGUAAUUCUAAGCACUUUGGGAGGCCGAGGCAGGUGGAUCACUUGAGGUCUGGAGUUUGAAACCUGCCUGGCCAACAUGGUGAAACUCUGUCUCUUCCAUCUCUACUAAAAAUACAAAAAAAAAAAAAAAAAAUAGCCAGGUGUGGUGGUGGACACCUGUAGUCCUAGCUACUCGGGAGGCUGAGGCAGGAGAAUCACAUGAACCUGGGAGGUAGAGGUUACAGUGUGCUGAGAUCGCACCACUGCACUCCAGCCUGGGCAACAGAGCAAGACUCCAUCUCAAAAAAAAAAAAAAGAUAAACACAAAAAUUACCAUAUGGUCGAACAAUCCUGCUCCUAGGUAUAUAUCCAAAAUCAUUGAAAACAGAUACACAAACACUUAUACAUGAAUGUUCACAGCGGCAAUGCUCACAACAGCCAAAAGGUGGAAACAGCCCAAAUGUCUAUCAACAGAUCAGUAAACAAAAUUGCAGUGGAUACAUAUAAUGGAAUAUUAUGCCACAAAAAGAAAGAAAGUACUGAUACAUGAUGCAAUGGGGAAGAACAUGGAAAACAUAAAGCUAGGUAGAAGCAGCCAGAUACAAAAGGUCACAUACUGAUUCCAUUUAUACAAAAUACCCAGAACAGGCCAGGUGCAAUGGCUCACGCCUGUAAUACCAGCACUUUGGGAAGACAAGGCAGGAGGACUGCUUGAGUCCAGGAGUUUGAGACCAGCCCGGGCAACAUAGCAAGACCUGUCUCUACAAAAAACUUUAAAAAAUAUCUGGGUGUGGCAGCACGUGCCUGUAGUCUCAGCUCCUCGAGAGGCCAAGGUGGGAAGAUUGCUUGAGCCCAGGAAAUCGAGGCUGCAGUGAGCCAUGUUCAUGCCACUGUACUUCAGCCUGGGUAAGAGCAAGACUGUCUCAAAAAAAUAGUAAUACCCAGAAUUAAUUCACAGAAACAAAAUGAAGAUUGGUGGUUGCAGGGGUUAGGGAGCAGGAAUGGGGAGGAACUGCUUAAAGAGCUCUGGUUUUUCUUUUGGGGUGAUGGAAAUGUUUGGGAACUAGACAGAGGUGGUGAUUAUGCACUACUGUAAAUGUGCUAAAUGCCACUGAACUGCUCACCUACUUAACUUUUAAUACUUAAAAUUAGCCUUAAAAUGGCUAAUUUUGGCCGGGUGCAGUGGUUCACACCUGUAAUCCCAGCACUUUGGGAGGCCGAGGUGGGCAGAUCACAAGGUCAGGAGAUCAAGACCAUCCUGGCUAACACGGUGAAACCCCGUCUCUACUAAAAAUACAAAAAAACUUAGCCGGGUGUGGUGGUGGGCGCCUGUAGUCCCAGCUACUCGGGAGGCUGAGGCAGGAGAAUGGUGUGAACCCAGGAGGCGGAGCUUGCAGUGAACCGAGAUGGCGCCACUGCACUCCAGCCUGGGCGACAGGGUAAGACUCUGUCUCAAAAAAAAAAAAAAAAAAUUAUGUGAAUUUCACCUCACUAAAAAAAGAAAGAAAAUACGUGGUAAAGGCCUUUAAAAACAGCAACUGUCUGGUGACUAGAGAUCUGGGCUUAGCUCUGCCAGUUACUGGCAACAAGGUAAUGUCUCUCUGGGCCUCAGUUUCCUCAUCUGUAAAAUGAUCGGGUUGGAUUAAACCACUACUAGUUCUCAACCAGGACAGCCUACAUUGGCCAUAUGUGGAGAGCUGCUUCUAAAUGCACAGGGCCAUCCCAUCACCCCCAGAUUUUGACAUGUCCAAGGCAGAAUCAGGCCUGUGUUCUUGUGUUGAAAUAUUUAUUUCAGGAUUUAAAUCCACCCCCUUCUGAGAACAUCAGAUUAAAAGACCUCCAGCAA
rnacentral:lncRNA from 1 species